rnacentral:rRNA from 1 species
AGCGAACGCUGGCGGCAGGCCUAACACAUGCAAGUCGAACGAACCCUUCGGGGUUAGUGGCGGACGGGUGAGUAACACGUGGGAACGUGCCUUUAGGUUCGGAAUAACUCAGGGAAACUUGUGCUAAUACCGAAUGUGCCCUUCGGGGGAAAGAUUUAUCGCCUUUAGAGCGGCCCGCGUCUGAUUAGCUAGUUGGUGAGGUAAAGGCUCACCAAGGCUACGAUCAGUAGCUGGUCUGAGAGGAUGACCAGCCACAUUGGGACUGAGACACGGCCCAAACUCCUACGGGAGGCAGCAGUGGGGAAUCUUGCGCAACGGGCGAAAGCCUGACGCAGCCAUGCCGCGUGGAUGAUGAAGGUCUUAGGAUUGUAAAAUCCUUUCACCGGUGAAGAUAAUGACUGUAGCCGGAGAAGAAGCCCCGGCUAACUUCGUUCCAGCAGCCGCAGUAAAAC